rnacentral:rRNA from 1 species
UGGCGGACGGGUGAGGAAUGCAUCGGAAUCUACUCUGUCGUGGGGGAUAACGUAGGGAAACUUACGCUAAUACCGCAUACGACCUACGGGUGAAAGCAGGGGAUCUUCGGACCUUGCGCGAUUGAAUGAGCCGAUGCCCGAUUARGGMGUUGGCGGGGARAGAGCCCACCAAGGCYACGAUCGGUACCUGGUCUGASAGGAUGAYCAGCCACACUGGAACUGAGACACGGUCCAGACUCCA